rnacentral:rRNA from 1 species
GGGUUGUGAGGUUAAGCGACUAAGCGUACACGGUGGAUGCCCUGGCAGUCAGAGGCGAUGAAGGGCGUGCUAAUCUGCGAUAAGCGCCGGUAAGGUGAUAUGAACCGUUAUAACCGGCGAUACCCGAAUGGGGAAACCCAGUGUGACUCGUCACACUAUCAUUAACUGAAUCCAUAGGUUAAUGAGGCGAACCGGGGGAACUGAAACAUCUAAGUACCCCGAGGAAAAGAAAUCAACCGAGAUUCCCCCAGUAGCGGCGAGCGAACGGGGAGGAGCCCAGAGCCUGAAUCAGCAUGUGUGUUAGUGGAAGCGUCUGGAAAGGCGCGCGAUACAGGGUGACAGCCCCGUACACAAAAGCGCAUGUGCUGUGAGCUCGAUGAGUAGGGCGGGACACGUGGUAUCCUGUCUGAAUAUGGGGGGACCAUCCUCCAAGGCUAAAUACUCCUGACUGACCGAUAGUGAACCAGUACCGUGAGGGAAAGGCGAAAAGAACCCCGGCGAGGGGAGUGAAAAAGAACCUGAAACCGUGUACGUACAAGCAGUGGGAGCACAGGUUUACCUGUGUGACUGCGUACCUUUUGUAUAAUGGGUCAGCGACUUAUAUUCUGUAGCAAGGUUAACCGAAUAGGGGAGCCGGAGGGAAACCGAGUCUUA